GGCAGAAGUCACAAUCCUUCUCCGGGUGAUGAUGGGAAGACGCGGGCACUCUCGAGCUCAGACGCCCCCCUCGAGGCCGAGGAAACCAGGCGCCUCCCCAGAGGGAAAGGUCGCUGGGCUUAGAGGCGCCCGUCCCACCGCUCAGUCAGCAUUGGAUUCCUCCAGGCUUCCGCAUGUCUCCAGCUUAUAAAGGACAGGAUGUGAGAUAAUAAGCUGAAACUGAAUCAAGAUGGGACUGUUACCGAUUCUAAGGGAUGGACCUCAAACCAUAGAGUCUCAACUGCUGAUGAUUACAUGGACAUAUCCAAGUUGUUUUCUAGGCAAUAAUUCAGAAGUCGUUUGCCUUUGCCUUCUUCCAGGGUAUUCAGAAAAAAAGGACAUCCUUGGGAAUUUCUAACUCGAUAUGUGGUAGUUAAUUUUUCCAGAUUGCUAUACCCAAAAAUCUAUUUGGAAGGACUGAAAACAUUUUAUGGAUGAAUUUACAGACAAUUUUUCUAUAUUGUGAUGACAUCUUCUGCUCCAUUUCUGAUCAGAUUUUAAUCAUUUGUAAAUUCAAGAAUUUUUGUUGGAUUUUUGUUAUUGUGGCUCCAAUUCAAUAAAAUAUCCUCGCUAAGGAGAUUCUUAA